rnacentral:rRNA from 1 species
AGAGUUUGAUCAUGGCUCAGAACGAACGCUGGCGGCGUGCUUAACACAUGCAAGUCGAGUGCGCGUGCCGUAGCAAUACGGUAUGGCGCACGGCGCACGGGUGCGUAACACGUGGGCAAUCUGCCCUCCGAUGGGGAAUAACUCCGGGAAACCGAAGCUAAUUCCGCAUAACAUUCCCUGGACUCCGGUUCGGGGAUUCAAAGCAGCAAUGCGUCGGAGGAGGAGCCCGCGCCCGAUUAGCUAGUUGGUGAGGUAACGGCUCACCAAGGCUAUGAUCGGUAGCUGGUCUGAGAGGAUGGCCAGCCACACUGGAACUGAGACACGGUCCAGACUCCUACGGGAGGCAGCAGGGGGGAAUCUUGCGCAAUGGGCGAAAGCCUGACGCAGCGACGCCGCGUGGGGGAUGAAGCUUCUCGGAGUGUAAACCCCUUUCGACCGGGACGAAUGCCCGCAAGGGAGUGACGGUACCGGUAGAAGAAGCCCCGGCUAACUACGUGCCAGCAGCCGCGGUAAGACGUAGGGGGCCAGCGUUGUUCGGAAUUACUGGGUGUAAAGGGUUCGUAGGCGGUGCGGCAAGUCGGGAGUGAAAUUUCUGGGCUUAACUCAGAACCUGCUUCCGAAACUGCUGUGCUCGAGUGUGGGAGAGGCGCGUGGAAUUGCAGGUGUAGCGGUGAAAUGCGUAGAUAUCUGCAGGAACACCCGUGGCGAAAGCGGCGCGCUGGACCACUACUGACGCUGAGGAACGAAAGCUAGGGGAGCAAACAGGAUUAGAUACCCUAGUAGUCC